rnacentral:tRNA from 1 species
GGCUAGAUAAUCUAAAGAAAGAUAUUUCGCUGUAAACGAAAAUAUAAGACAUACCUUUCCAGCCA